AAUGUCGUAACAAGGUUUCCGUAGGUGAACCUGCGGAAGGAUCAUUAAAGAAUGCCCCCGUUUUUUUGAAAUGGGUUCUAUUCCCAAAGCCGUGUAUACAUACCUUUGUUGCUUUGGCAGGCCGCCUUCGGGCGUCGGCUCACGCGACCGCGCCCGGCCAGAGAACCCAAACUCGUUUGUUUAGUGAUGUCUGAGUAUUAUAAAAUUUUUUCAAAAG
rnacentral:misc_RNA from 1 species